rnacentral:lncRNA from 1 species
GCUGUGGUCCCGGGUUCUGGCGUUCCCCCCUGGCCCUCUUCCUGUCCGUCCCUCGCGAGUGCCCCCCUGCGACGCUCGCAAGCCUUGCUCGCAACGUUCCGGGCGCGGGAGCUCCCUGCACUCCUGCCCCGGGGCACGGGAGUGCUCCGCCCUCUCCCGGGGUGCUCCUCGGGCGCCCUGUUUCGCCUCCCCCAACUGGGUCCAGGCACUAGGAGCAGGCCAACGAGCAGGCCUGAGCCUGGGGAGCGUGGCCCCCAGGCUGCAAACCGCUGCCAGGGCCCUUGGUCGCUGAAUUAGAGUGGAAGUUGCGCGGCAGGCAAAUUUGGGCUCCCCAAGAACUGAAGUUUUGGGCGCGGGGAGUUGGAGCGGGAGAGGAAAAGUUGGAGACGACUGCCUCUGCAGGCCGAGCACGCUCUACUGCAGGCGGCGGCGCUCGCUUUUUUUUUUUUUUUUCCCACUCUGGAAAAAGAUGUAUCCGACAAACAACCACGAGGAAAUAAAAGGAAAAAAAAAAAAAAAAAAGGAACAAGAACUCCAGGCAGCCUGGCCGCGCCGCCGCUGGCAGUCGGGGGUCGUCGGGGGCGCCCGCCCUCCCCAGCUGCCGCUUUCUGUAGGGGGCACUGCAGGGUCGUGGAAUCUCAAGUGGAAAAGUUCCCCGAAAACUUUGACACCUCCCACCCCCCUCCCCGCGAAAAAAAUCUCUGUUCCCUGCCUGGGCCCUGGCCCUGCGACCCCCGCGCCCCCCCGUGCCCCGGGCCGGGUUUUCCACGGUUGGCCGGGCCCAGGGCGCCCUAAGCACCUCGACUUGCCGCCCCGGGCCAGGUCGGCGGGGUUCGUGCAGGGGCUCCGUGGGGCCGCGUCGGGCAGGGGCCGCCCGGGCCCGAGCACGGCACCCACAAACAGGCUGGCGUCCCGCGACGGAGACCCGGGUCCGGCCCGGAGCCGCCCGGGAGGCUUGAGGCCAAGGGCCUGGCCCAGCGCGCGGCCGGAGCGGGUCGGGGGCGCAGAGCUGUGCGGCGGCGCCUUCCGGGCCCCGGGCCUGUGCAGGGCCGGCUUCCCCUUGCGGGGCGAGGCUGCGGGCCGGGCUGCGGUGCGGGGUUCCAACAAAGGACCGAGGCCCCAGAAGCGGCCCCCACGCGUCCUUUGUUUCUGCGUGGAACAAACUUUACACACGUGUGUGUUUUCCGAGGGUUUCCCGUGUGCUGAGCGCUUGCAAAGCGGAGUCGCGCCCGGGGAGACGCGAAGCCGGUGCCCGCGGCUCACCCAGGGACCCCAGCCAGACAGCGGCACCCGCGGGGCGCGUGCGGGACCCCCAGGCGACCGGGGGAAGCACCGGUAACCGCCCCCCACCCGUGCUUUUUCUCUCACGGAGAAUGUUCCCGCGCGUUCGUUGUGCAACUAAAAAUUAAUGUGAAACAUCCAUUGAGGCAAAUAACAAAAUGCAUCCAACGAAACCCACAUAAAAUCGAGAGAGCCGCGAGCAGGGCUGGGCGAGUUCACUGUGAGGACCGGCUCUGGCUUCCGCGCAGCGCGGAGAGCAGGGCGCUCGCCCGGGGACGCUUCGCAGCGGUGGAAGAUUCGGGCGACAGGGGACUGGGUCGCCGCGCGGGCCGGGCUGGAGGCUGCAGGGACUUGCUGACAGGCCAUCCAAAGACAGAGAGGCCCUGGGGAGGGAAAUUCGGGGAGCCCGUGUGCUUAGCGUAGCGCCCCGGGAAAUAUUUGCCCAAUAAGGGAGAGUUUGUCCCCACACUGCGGCAGAACCCCCCUGCGAGCUCUGACCCCAGCAGCACGGCCAAGCCCCCCCAACCCCGCUCCCCCCUUUAGGGGACAGGUAUUUGUAAAUAACAACUGAGCUGGUCGUCGGUAGGAGAAUCAGAUUAGAAACAUGGUCCCCACUCUCUUCCUAUCUCCCCAGCACUCAUCACCUCACAAAGCAGGGGGGGACCUGUUUACUUUUCCUGGCGCUCUCCCCCAGGCUAGAACGUGAUCUUCUUCCUACGCAGGGACAGUGUUUUAUUCAUCUUUGUACCCACUGCCAUCUCAUCUGGCUUGGAACAGGCUCCGGAUAAAUAUUUUUUAAAUAUGUGCAUGAAUUAAUGAGAGACUCGAGAUUUAGUCCCCAAACUCUCUGACCUCCCUCGAGUGACUUUAAGCCUUUAGAGCCCUUAUCUGUUAAGAAAAAAAGAAAAAAAUGUGGGUUUUUCGUAAUCCUCGUAAUCCGCGCCCUGUCUACUUCUCUGGGGUUAUUGUGAAGAUCAAAUAAGGUAAGUGAAAACUCUUUGUAAACUACCAGGUGCUGAGCAAAUAUUAUAUAGGAUGGUUAUUCAUUCAUUCCCUCCGUUCAGGAAGCUUAGCAAAGUAAUUCCUGGUCUUGUGUUUCAGCAGAUGGUGGUCGCCUUUCCUGGUCAGUCUUAAAUAUUUAUUACAGGACAAUCUCAUUCUUACAUUUAGGAGAUCAAUCAAGCUUCCAUUUCUUUGAGCGAAAUGAACACUGCUUGCACACAAAUAAUGGAAGAAAAAUCCUGGUAUUCCCAAAACAGCCACCCCAAGCAACCCAAGAGCCUAACAGCGGGGAGGUCAGGAAAAUCCAAGAAGUUGGCAUAGCAGCCCAAAGGCAGCACCGUGCAGCUCUGACCAGGCCCCAAA